rnacentral:tRNA from 2 species
GGAGAGGUGUCAGAGUGGCCGAAUGAACUGGUUUUGAAAACCAGCGACCUGCGAGGGUCCGGGGGUUCGAAUCCCCCCCUCUCCGCCA